ensembl:lncRNA
GAAAUGGUGUAAAUAUCUUGACCUUUUCUGUGAGUAAGGAACUAAUGUGACAGAUAGACCAUUGUCAUCAUUAAGAAACCACCACCUUCCUUUCCACGAUGAAGCAACCAGUUUUCCCAAAAUAAUAUAAUGCAAUGCUCUGCCACCCCAAGUGUGGCUGUAGGAGUUUGGGUUCCCUAGGUGGAAAUGCUUUCUAAGGCAUGCAGGUGGCAAGGGGAUUUACUGGAGGGUUAUGGGGUUGCACAUAACAUGCUGGAACGGCUUCGGAACCACUGGAACCAGCUCUGAGGAGCAGACUGGGGCAGAGCAGCUGAGCUGAGGGUGCUACAUCUCUCCUUGCACUGAUGGCUCCAGGACCCAGCCUCCAGGAGGAAGAGGAGUUCAGAGGAAUCAGAGUCAGAUCCCGACCAUGGCCAGGUGAGAAAACAGCUUCAUUGGCAGCUCCACCAAGGCUGAACGGUAGAGGAAACUUCUCCUAAGAUAUCAUUGGUGCUGCCCACACAAAAAGAAGAAAUUGAUGCAACAGAGUACAUCCAACCCCAGCAUCCGCCAUAAUGCAAUUCUGAGUUUGGCAGGAUGUGAAAUCUGAGACUCAACUGUAUCUUUAGUGUAAGAAGAUAGUUCAUUCAGGUCUAGUGGAGAACAUAAUGAUUUUAACUGGGGAAUAAUUUGUUUUAACCCACAUAAUCUCCCUUAAGAAAAUACUAUGUGUCAUAAGUUUAAACAUUUUAGCUAAUUGAAGUUAUUUUUGUUCAGGGAUGUGUGAUAUUUCAGCAAAACCAGAUUUUAGAACCUAAUCCUGUAGCCAUAGUGAUGGGAGGCAGGAAAAUUGGACUCUGAGUUGUCUACUCUGUACAGGAGAAAAGGGUAGAAAAAUCGUAUGUAGAACUAUUAAUAAAUUUAGCCUAGAAACUCAAAAAUGCAUUUGCUAAAAAAAUUGCGUUUGCUAUCGAUUUUUAAAAAUUUACUUAGUAUGACUUUGACUUAUUGCCUAAGUCUUCUUUACCCAGCUAGGAAUAUAAUGGGAAUGAAAACUUUAAUUGGAAGCAAGAGGAGGAUACUAUUGAGCUUCCCCAAACAGCUGACAUGUAUUGAGGGCCAAGGAUAGUCCAGGCUUGUUGGCUUCAUGACACAGGAAGAACCUCAUUGGUUUCAUUCUUCCUAUUUUAUAAGUGAGAAGACUAAAUUCCUUUAGAGUUAAGUCAUAUGGACACAUUGUCUAACUAAUCACCAGCAGAAUCAACCUCAAACCUGUCAGACCAUGAGGCUUGUGCCUCUGGUCACCUCCUAAUGUGCCUCCUUAACCUAAGGCAGGUGCUCCCACCUUUGUCCAUGAGGGAAUCCCACUAUUGAUUUGUGACUCUAGGGUACACCAUGUGUGCUCACGGUGGAGUUAGCAGAUGUGCCUUGGGCUACCCCAGUCCUGGCUGGGAGCUGGAGGACCACCCUCUCAGCACAUGCUGGGGAGCAGGAAGCUGAGGAGGAGGAAGCACAUUCAUUCAUGUCUCUAGUUCCUAUCGAAAGAAUUAGAGGGCCUAGCACAUAGAAGACCCUCAGCCCAUUUUAUAGAGUGCGAGUGUGUUACUAUUGACGUACUUGGCAUUCUAAGAUGUCCCUUGGGGUUUCAGGACUGGAUUUGCCAGACAUUUUUAGGCCAGCGGCAAACAUGACUGAAAAAAUUGUGUCUCAAUCUUAAAACCUUUACAAUCUAUUGAGGCCUCCUAGGGUAGAAAAAUUAAGCAACAUGGUGGAAAGGAUAAGCACAUGAUGUGGUUUGUCCAGCCCAGUAGGCCUGUGCCUGCCUCUGUCAACCUGAGCCAACCCAUGAGAUAACUCCUGGAGACUCUACUUCUCCCCUGUGAGAGGAAAACUUCACAUUUUAUUAUUUAGGUAGACUUCUGUUUAAGGAACAUAAGGCAUUGUCCAGAAAAAAAAAUAAUACAAUGUAAAGCUUCCCUUUUAAAAAAAUUUUUUUGGCCCAGGUAUUGUAGCCCAUGUCUAUAAUCUCAGCACUUUGGGAGGCUGAGGAAGAAGGAUCACUUGAGCCCAAGAGUUUGAGACUAGCCUGGUCAACAUAGCAAAACAAUGUCGCUACAAAAAGUAAAAUUAGCUGGGCAUGGUGGUGCACACCUCUAGUCUCAGUUACUAGAAAGUCUGGGGCAGGAGGAUCCUUUGAGCCUGGGAGGUUGAGGCUGCCAGUGAGCUGUGAUGAUGCCAUUGCACUCUAGUUUGGUUGACAGAGCAAGACACCAACUCAAAAAAAAAAAAA